GGCGGCCCUUGUCAAAGCUGCAGCUGCUUCUGCAUAACUGAUGUGGUCAAAAGAAGCCCCAGCUAACCGUUUUCCUUACCUGUCAUUAUCUGUUUCCAUUUGCUGUAACACAUCUGUACGAUCUUGGAAAAAAGCAGCU
ensembl:snoRNA Gm23454 predicted gene, 23454